GGUUCCGUAGUGUGUGGUUAUCACGUCUGCUUUACACGCAGAAGGCCCUGGGUUCGAGCCCCAGCGGAACCA